ACCAUCCCCAUUGUCCUUUCCAGAGAUGAGCCUGAUGGACUUGAAUUACUGACAACCCACAGCAGAAGCUGAAGGGUACCAUUGCUCACGCUCUUUCCUCCAUGCCUGGGCCCCACCCAACCCCACUGAAUCAUUCUUUCUGGAGGAGGAGCCCAGACUUGUCUUCAUGGCCUAAUUCCCUGAUCCUCCAACCAGGAGGCCUCCCCAGGCCUGAAAGAAGUGUUUGUAAAGGUCAACUCCCUUAGAUCUUUUAAAUUCCAAGAACAAAAGAUAAAAGAAGCUCUACCAAAAUACAAACAACAAGCAACAACAACAACAAUCUUCCUACCUUGAUGUGUACGUCUGUAAUUGUGGUGUUAAAGUUGUGUAGGGAAAAAGGGAGAAAGCUUCAUUUGUCUUCCUCCAGCUUGAGUUGAUAGUUGGUGAUUGGACUAAUGGUCCCAUGUACUGUUGUAACUUCAGGAACCGCCGUGAAGCAAGGAUUCAUCAAAGAGGGGAAGCGAGAGGAUUUUGUUUGCUUAUUUAAUAAAAAAAAUUAAAAAAAUAGAGAUUUCCUUUAGCUUGGAGGUAUGGUUUAAUUAGAAUGGUUUUCUCCUGGGUUUUUGUGCCCUCAUUCUCCACCUCUCCUCCAUAAAGCCUGCCUGAGAAAUGCCUUCUUAAAUAUGAACAAAAUCAUCCUAAUUAUUUAAUCUACUCUUAUGGAACACAGCACGUGGAAGAAUGCGCCCUCAGUUUGACCUUCUGUGGUAGAGGAAAAGAGAGAAAGUCUA
rnacentral:lncRNA from 1 species